rnacentral:rRNA from 1 species
CCUACGGGAGGCAGCAGUGGGGAAUAUUGGGCAAUGGACGCAAGUCUGACCCAGCAACGCCGCGUGAAGGAAGAAGGCUUUCGGGUCGUAAACUUCUUUCAAGGGGGAAGAGCAGAAGACGGUACCCCUUGAAUAAGCCACGGCUAACUACGUGCCAGCAGCCGCGGUAAUACGUAGGCGGCAAGCGUUGUCCGGAAUUACUGGGGGUAAUGGGCGUGCAGCCGGAGAGACAAGUCAGAGGUGAAAUCCACGGGCUCAACCCGUGAACUGCAUUUGAAACUGUUUCACUGGAGUGUGUGAGAGGUAAGCGGAAUUCCUAGUGUAGCGGUGAAAUGCGUAGAUAUUAGGAAGAACACCAGUGGCGAAGGCGGAUUACUGGAAGAUAACUGACGGUGAGGCGCGAAAGCGUGGGGAGCAAACAGGAUUAGAUACCCGUGUAGUC